rnacentral:rRNA from 1 species
GUGUCAGCAGCCGCGGUAAGACAGAGGGUGCAAACGUUGCUCGGAAUCACUGGGCGUAAAGGGCGUGUAGGCGGACUCGUAAGUCGGGCGUGAAAUCCCUGGGCUCAACCCAGGAACUGCGCUCGAAACUGUGAGUCUUGAGUACCGGAGAGGAAGGUGGAAUUCCUGGUGUAGAGGUGAAAUUCGUAGAUAUCAGGAGGAACACCAGUGGCGAAGGCGGCCUUCUGGACGGUAACUGACGCUGAGACGCGAAAGCGUGGGGAGCAAACAGGAUUAGAUACCCCCGUAGUCC